rnacentral:rRNA from 1 species
GACGAACGCUGGCGGCGUGCUUAACACAUGCAAGUCGAACGGAAAGGCCCCUUUGGGGGUACUCGAGUGGCGAACGGGUGAGUAACACGUGAGUAACCUGCCCUUGACUUCGGGAUAACUUCAGGAAACUGGGGCUAAUACCGGAUAGGAAUCCUUGCUGCAUGGUGGGGGUUGGGAAGCUUCGGCGGUUUUGGAUGGACUCGCGGCUUAUCAGCUUGUUGGUGGGGUAGUGGCUUACCAAGGCUUUGACGGGUAGCCGGCCUGAGAGGGCGACCGGCCACAUUGGGACUGAGAUACGGCCCAGACUCCUACGGGAGGCAGCAGUGGGGAAUAUUGCACAAUGGGCGGAAGCCUGAUGCAGCAACGCCGCGUGCGGGAGGACGGCCUUCGGGUUGGAAACCGCUUUCAGCAGGGGCGAAGCUUGUGGUGACGGUACCUGCAGAAGAAGCACCGGCUAACUACGUG